rnacentral:tRNA from 1 species
CGAAAUCGGUAGACGCUACGGACUUAAAAUCCGUCGACUUUAAAAAUCGYGAGGGUUCAAGUCCCUCUAUCCCCA